CAGGUUAAUCAGAUGACCGCGGUGCGGCGUGAUCGCACCGAGGAAAGUCCGCACUCCUGAGAGCAAGAUGCCGGAUAACAUCCGGGGCGGGGCAACUUGCCGGAAAAGGGCCACAGAAAAUAGACCGCUUCGCGAAAGCGGAGCAAGGGUGAAAAGGUAGUGUAAGAGACUACCGGCGUUCGUGGUGACACGGCGGCCAGGUAACCCCCAUCUGGAGCAAGGCCAAGUAGGGGCGAAGCGUGUCGCGUACACGCGGGGAUCUGCUCGAUCCCCUCGAGCUCCGGGUAGGCUGCUAGAGUCGCACGGUAACGUGCGUCCCAGAGAGAUGGUCAUCUCAGUGGGAGAACUCGAGAUCUCCUCUGAACAGAAUGCGGCUUAUAGAUUAACCUGGCAU
rnacentral:RNase_P_RNA from 1 species